GGUGCAAUCGGAUAGUGGUUAUUCCGCCACAUUGCUACAAUGGCUAAAGAUGUGGUGCCUUCGGGCUCGAGAGUUCGAAUCUCUCUUGCAUCA
rnacentral:tRNA from 2 species